AGCAGCCGCGGUAAUUCCAGCUCCAACAGCGUAUAUUAAAGUUGCUGCAGUUAAAAAGCUCGUAGUUGAAUUUCGGGACCAUCAUGUCGGUCGUGCCUCGGUACGUACUGGCAUCGUCGGUUUCUCCCUUCUGACGAACCAUGAUGUCAUUUAUUUGGUGUUGUGGGGAAUCAGGACUGUUACUUUGAAAAAAUUAGAGUGUUUAAAGCAGGCUCACGCUUGAAUACAUUAGCAUGGAAUAAUGAAAUAGGACGUUUGAUUCUAUUUUGUUGGUUUCUAGGAUCGACGUAAUGAUUAAUAGGGAUAGUUGGGGGCAUUAGUAUUCAAUUGUCAGAGGUGAAAUUCUUGGAUUUAUUGAAGACUAACUACUGCGAAAGCAUUUGCCAAGGAUGUUUUCAUUAAUCAAGAACGAAAGUUAGGGGAUCGAAGACGAUCAGAUACCGUCGUAGUCUUAACCAUAAACUAUGCCGACUAGGGAUCGGAUGAUGUUAAUUUUUUAAUGACUCA
rnacentral:rRNA from 1 species